GAAACCCCUUAUAAUAGCCCACAAAACUAGUAGUAUUUUGUGUGCCUGCUCCAACUGACAGCGGAAAGAGACGGCGAAAGACCCACUGCUAUCCCCACUCUUCGCACACAAACACAGCAGCAAGUUCAAGUUUGUGAGGCAGGAUCCCAUUCAAGGCCCCAACCAGCAGACUGCGCGAAGAGGAAGAACAAUGGAUGUGGAAAACUCUCAACAUGAAACACCUUGUGCCUCCCACUUUUACUCUUUUCCUUCUCCCACUUUUACUCUCCUCCUUUCGCACGCCCACUCACUUUUCUUGCUCCACCCCACACCCCCACACACAUACAUGGAAACGCGACCUCGGAUAAGGUAGAGAAUGUUCUCAAACUUCGGCGAAACUCCGCAGAAAAAGAAAGAAAAGUAAGAGGCGGAGGGGGAAAUGGGUGGAGGAGUGGAGAGGCGGGAGAAGGGAGCCGGGGGGCUAGUGAGAAUCGAGCGAAGCCAAAUAAAUGCGAUGAAAAGGAAACCCAAGAGGCGGAAAACAACGCAAAAGCCAGCCUAGGAAAAUGGAAAAAUGUUUUAUGUGCAAAUAUACACUUAUAAGCAUACCAAUACAG